rnacentral:rRNA from 1 species
AUGAACGCUGGCGGCAUGCCUUACACAUGCAAGUCGAACGGCAGCACGGGAGCAAUCCUGGUGGCGAGUGGCGAACGGGUGAGUAAUACAUCGGAACGUGCCCAAUCGUGGGGGAUAACGCAGCGAAAGCUGUGCUAAUACCGCAUACGAUCUACGGAUGAAAGCAGGGGACCGCAAGGCCUUGUGCGAAUGGAGCGGCCGAUGGCAGAUUAGGUAGUUGGUGAGGUAAAGGCUCACCAAGCCUUCGAUCUGUAGCUG